rnacentral:rRNA from 1 species
CUAGGAAUCUUGCACAAUGGGCGAAAGCCUGAUGCAGCGACGCCGCGUGGGGGACGACGGCCUUCGGGUUGUAAACCCCUUUUGGGUGGGACGAGGAAGGACGGUACCACCUGAAGAAGCCCCGGCUAACUACGUGCCAGCAGCCGCGGUAAUACGUAGGGGGCGAGCGUUGUCCGGAUUUACUGGGCGUAAAGGGCGCGUAGGUGGUUGGGUAGGUUGGUGGUGAAAGGUUGGGGCUUAACCCCAAUAGGUCCACCAAGACCGCUCGACUUCGAGGGCAGUAGAGGACGGUAGAAUUCCGGGUGUAGUGGUGAAAUGCGUAGAGAUCCGGAGGAAUACCGGUGGCGAAGGCGGCCGUCUGGGCUGUCCCUGACACUGAGGCGCGAAAGCGUGGGGAGCGAACUGAAUUAGAUACCCCUGUAGUCC